GGUGUCGCUCCGGCCCUCGCCCUGAGGGAACUUGGAGGGCAAAGGAAAGAAAAGAGGCGACGUCGGUUCACGAAACUAAGGGGGGGGGAGGUCGGAGUGGAAGUCCCCCCCCCGUGGAAAAAGCACCCCCUGCUGGGUAACAAGAUUCUGCCUGUCCAUGCUAGUGUACUGAAAAGAAGAAAAGAUCUGGAGUUUUGACCUUACUCCCCAGAGAAUGUCAGAAAUCAAAGUUUAUAAGUUUAUAUGUAAAAUAUCCAGGCUCUCGUCAUAGCAGGAAAACAGGGCGGCCCUUGGCAAUAUCGGAAUUUCUUUCUGGUUUUAAAGAGGCUUGAGAAAAAAUAGCCCAGUUGCAUAACCAGCUGUCGAUCAAAUGGCAGCACCCCGUCAGUCACCCCAGAAAAGAAUAAGGAGCCAUUCAGUGCUCCAUAAAAUGAAGGUUUCGAGUUGUAUGAAGGUCUAGUCCUCCGUUUACCCCCAUUCCCUCCCCAUCUUUGUCAGUGUCUGCCGUUAGGCAGUGCAACUGUGGUAAGACUAUCUUGGUGAUGCCAAGCCCAGGGAGCUAUAGCAGAUCCAGGGAUAUCCUACCAAGCGAGUCAGCAACCUGCCCUGUUUUUGGGGCAGAAGGAAGGGGGCAAAAGGGCCUUGGCCAAUAUCCUGGAGGAAUAUGGCUUGCUGAACCCUGGUAUUGUCUGAAAUGCAUUCCUGCUUGAGCAGGGGGUUGGACUAGGAGAUCUUCAAGGUUCCUUCCAACUUAGCUAUUCUGUUAUACGUGGAGUGAUGGGUGGGGAAGGUGGUAGGAGAGCUUCUGCGCCAGGACUAGAGGAGAGAACCAGCUGCCAACGGACUCAUCCCUUGCCUUCUUUAUUCCUGAUUUUCAUCAGAGCCUAGGUGGUUUUAAAACCACAAGGACUAGAAACUUAAUCACACACGUUCAGUCCUCCUCUGUCCCUCGCAGCUUCUUGUCCAAGGAUGUGCCUACCAUAAAAAGAGCUCGCUGCUCCGGGGAAUGGAUCUGUGCCAAGGGGGA